GCGGUGGCGCCGGGACCGCGGCGCCCCUGGCCCCCUCCUGCCGCCGCGGGGGGGUGGCAGGCGGCGGGGCCAGGCAGCAGCUCCGCGGAAGGGGCGGCGGAGCCGGGCUGCUCCCGGGACGGGCGGGUUGGCCCGGGCAGGCCGGGGACAGGAGCGGGGCCGGGCUUGGUGCGAGAGGGGCCGGGGUUCGGGAGGGCAAAUGCGCCCCGCGCUGCGGAGCGUGCCCGGGAGCCUCAGCCCGGUGGUGACCGGGAGGAAAGGGAAACAAAGCAAAAAAUGGAAAAAAAAAAUAAAUAUAUAUAUAUAAAAGGGAAAGUUAAAAGGCAGAGAGAAAACCAAGCGGGCUUUCCAAGAAUCCGGCUUCUCCCUCCGAAGCGAUUUUCAUUCUACAUGCACCAAAAUCACCCAAGUAUCACCCGAGAGUGGAUUUUUUAAUGUUUUGAAAGAAAGGUGACGAUAAAACCAACGCGGGCCUUUGCAGGGUUAUUUCGGAAGGAGCUGUUGCAGGAGGGAGGAACGAGGCCGAGCCCGCAGCAUGAGCACCCCAAAGCAAAAGGAGGAUAAAGAGGGGAACUUUGCACAUACAAAAACAGAAGAAAAAAAAAAGGCGAUGGGGUGAAAGAGUCGGCGGAGAGGAGCGGCCGUGGCCCGAUGUGCCUGGGAACAGGGAGACGCUGUCGGCAGCCGCGUCCUGGGAUCGCCCGGCACGGAACGACUCCAAAACGAGGAACUGUCGCUCAGGCGGAAAAACUACGGGAAAAGUGGGGUUUGAAGGCUGCAGAUUUUUCCCCAAGCGGGGUCAGGCGGGGGUGUGCGAGCCGGGGGCUCAGGGGGCCGAGAGCGGAGCAGCGCCCACCCGAGCCGUCCCGGGACAGCCGGGGUCACCCCCCACGUGCCACCAGAGACACGGGGGGUCCGCCGGGCAGGGAGUCACGAUUUUCCCCUCAUGCCCGCUGGAAGAGAAGGAUGUUUUUCUUUCCCGUUAAGCUUUCGUACUAAAGAUGUCAUAUGAAAGUCUGAGAGGAAGGGGGGACCGUGCUCUGCUCUUUUUCACGGUAACAACCAUAUCAUAUUGAAAAAUAUGAUGGACAGUGGGGGAAGAUUUCCUCCCCCAUUAAAAAAAAAGAAAAAAAAGAAAAUAACCCCAACCUUUUCAAUAUUGAUUCAAAAAAAAAAAAAAAGGAGAAAAUUUUAAAAGAGAAGAAGCAGCACCAGCAGCAAGGAGAAUAUAGGCUCAGCAGCUCUCCAGGUUAGCUUCCUUAUUAUUACUAUCCAGGGGUAAUUUUUCAUCUCUGCUAGCUAAUCUUUGUUCCUUGUGAAGAUAAUGAAUAGCCCAAUCCUUAUCUCCUGGGCUCCUGGAGGCUGCUGUAGAAUGGGGUUGAACAGGGUUGAAAAUUGGUUCCAAAGUGCUGCUGAAUAAAUGGUGUUCCUUAUCUCUCGCUUCCAGAUUAUCGGAACCCUUUCAAAACUCACACAACAAAUACAGCCACCGCAUCUAAUGCAUCAUUUACCAGAGCAGAUCUCCGCGUUUGAUCGGCAGAUAGGCAAAAUCUAUGUAUUCCUUGCUUUACUUAGUAUGCAUGGAUGCGGGGCUGCUGUGCACCGGGGCUGCCCCCGGCCGGGCCCGGGACACCCCCGAGGCUCUUGGCACACGCCGGUCUUCCCUGCGGAUUCCGUGCGGUGACAAAGUGUCCCCUGGCCAUCCCCGACCCAGGGCAGCAGGGUGGGACAGCAGCUCACUGCGCAGGGUGCUGCCACACAGCCUGCUUGGAAAUUUGGGUUUGCUCUGCUGAGGCACCGGUGGAUUUGCAGGGAUGGGAGAAGAGUUGUGAACAUCAACCCGGGCACCUCAGGCACCUGCUGGAACUCACUGCUGCACCCAGAGCCUCCUUCUCCUGCAUCCCUGGGCAGGCAGUGCCUCAGGAGUGAUGAAGAGUGUGGCAGCACCUCUGUCCCCAUGCAGAAAGCCACGUCCAGGCUCAGCUGUGUCCCAGUCCUGCCCCAGCCCUUAGCUGGGUCAGUCUAGUGAAAACUCCCAGGGCUCCCCCAGCUUGUUCCCCCCAAACCCUGCCCAUGGAGCCCUGGCAGUCCUUGGGUCCUCCACGGGCUGGGCUGGGCGAUCCCUCCAGCUCUCAGCCACAGGCACAACAGGGCACCUGAGACAGCCCAAAUUUGGGAAGAAAUUGGUGAUUCUGAGGGACAAAAAUAAACCUCACAGAAAGGGAGUUAUUUGCUCCUAGAGUUAGUGUGAAGUCUGUCCCUUCCAGCUCAGGACAGUAUCAGAUUUUUCUUCCUUUCUUUCUCCCUUCCUCUGUUUUUCGAUUUCUCUCUUUAUUUCUUGUUUCUUAUUCUGUCUUUUUUUUUUUCCUCCCAAAACCUAUCUACAUAACAGUAAAUGCCUUCCAGUCUGGGUGUGCAGCCCCCAGCUCCAGGACAGGAGAUCCCCCAACCCAGAGGCAGGGACAGAUGUCCCUUUGGCUUACCCAACCCUUCUUUCCUCUGGCAGUACCUGAGCUUGUGCCCAGGAACCAGACAAGGAAACAUUUUAUUCUGCAGCACAUGACAUUGCCAGCACUGCCCUGGAGCCCCGGACCAGGGGGACAGCAAGAUUCUGGCUUGGGGACAGGACACCCACAGUCUCCUGGUCCCCUCUGCCUGUCCAGCAAAGCUCAUCUCCUGCCUGGAAAGAGAGAGAAACUUUCAUGGGAUGUUGCAGGCAAGCAGCAGCCCCUGCCCGCGCUUGAAAGUUUUGCAAAUGUUCAACUUGUACUAAUUUUGUAUGGCUGUAUUCACAGUUGUUCUCUGUAAAAAAUGGACCUGUGUUAGUUUAUUAAUAACCUAAACAUUACGCAUUAAAGACCUAUGAGUGACACAAGAUGACAAAAAGCUGUAUUUUUCCAAUAUACACAAGCACACAUUUAAUAACCUUCUAUUGCAUCUCAGCUAGGCCUUCUCUCUGAUGGUUCCCAUGGCAACUGAGAUAAAAAAGCAGCCAUUUUCCAUAUCUCUAUGAAAGUCUAUUAUAUUGCAGGAUUAGUUCAUCUUCUGCUAAGGUCAAACACAAAGUCAUACAACCUGAAAUAUUUAGAAUCCAUGUACAUUCAUUUUUUUAUAUGCCCUUUCAUUUUCCACAAAAGACUGGGCUCCUCUGAGGUUUUAUUCCCCAGAAAAUGCUAAGCAAAGCAAUAAAAAAAUCAUGAUUAGCAGCUGA